CAAUAAAGACCAAUCGAGAGAGAACGAGGGAGAGCGAGAACCAGGGAGAUCAGAAGAGAAUUAAUCCCUUCCUGAACCCUCGCCCCUAGAAUCUCAAGAUUGUUUCAGAACAGAUUAAAAACAAGAAAAAGAAUGGGAGGAAAAUAAAUA